rnacentral:lncRNA from 1 species
CCCCCUCUUCCUACCCUCUUCCCAGCCCUUCCGUGGAGUCCCGCUUCCCCUGGACCGGAGGCUGCCAUCUCCAGUCCUACCCACUCCGACGCUGGCUGGUGCCGGGGGCCGGGACGCUCCGUACGCCGCCCGCCAGGGUGUGGAGCCGCACUGGGGCAAGAUCAGGUGGGACAGCCCAAAGACUCCGGGCCAAGUUCCUGGGGGACUCGGCGGAGAUGGAAGAUGAUUCUCGAAGCUCUCCAUUUCCUUAAUUUUGAGUUAUCUUCAGUCCUUCUUCAAUGCUGUGACUGAGUGCUUGCUGAUUAUUGUGCUUGCUGAUCCUGACUAAUACUCUCUCUUGAUGAGCUUCAUAUUCAUCACGACUUGGAUAAAUUUUGCUGAUGAGUGCAUCAAACUUUGGGUCUGGCCUUGGUGAUCUUUUGGAAACUAGUUUUUUCCAACAGGUAAGACAUUCUUUGUUGCCACUUCUAAGGGCUAUGAUGUUGCAGUCUGCACAGAAACGAUGUAAAGACUCCUUUGUAGUCAUGGUGUUCUUCAACAUAUCCAAACAAAUUGGGCACAUUAAAUCACUGUGCAGACUUCGAGGUGAAACCACAAUUUCUAAGCCAUCUGUUAUUGCCUUCUGUAAGAGAGUCACUGAGGUGUUCAUUGUAACUCAUAUAAACUGAGUUCCCAUGUUUUGCUUAAUGGUUGAGUUCCUUUUGUCUGCACAGCCUGAGACAUUGAGGCUCCCACCCCAGCCAGGGGCUCACUGGCCAUGCAGGAGCGAGACUCGGGUAAUCGGCUGCCGCGGCAGCUGGCACCGCCUUACAAUAUAGCGAGCCGCAAAGAGCAUUUUAACACAAGCCUCCAGGGUUCCCGGACACCCCACUCUGUCCCCACGGAUACCAAAAUCUGCGCGUAUCCGCGCAUGUUCAAGUCCCUAAUAUAUUCUGGUGCAUAUACUAUGGUGUCAAAUUUGUAUGUAACCUAUGUACAUCCUUCCAAAUAUUCUAAAUCUCUAGGUUAUUUAUAAUACCUUAAUACAAUGUAAGUGCUAUUUAAAUGGUUGUUAUACUGUGUUUUUUAUUUGUAUAAUUUUUAUUGUUGUAUUAUUGCUUUUUAUUAUUUGUUUUUUUCUGAACAUUUUUGAUCUGCAGUUGGUUGGAUCUAGGAUGUAAACUGCAAGUGUGGCAGGCCGACUGCACUGUUUUGUUACUAGAGGGAGUGAGAACACACCUGUGGACUUGAGCACCUUCCAUUCACCAGUUGCUCCAUGGGCAUACUCUAAUUCAGGUCUCCCCACAACCCUCUGAGUUAAUAUUUCUCUCCCCAUUUUAAAGAUGAGAAAAUAAAGCCUAGACAGUUUAA